GACGAACGCUGGCGGCGUGCCUAAUACAUGCAAGUUGAGCGAUGAAGAUUGGUGCUUGCACCAAUUUGAAGAGCAGCGAACGGGUGAGUAACGCGUGGGGAAUCUGCCUUUGAGCGGGGGACAACAUUUGGAAACGAAUGCUAAUACCGCAUAACAACUUUAAACAUAAGUUUUAAGUUUGAAAGAUGCAAUUGCAUCACUCAAAGAUGAUCCCGCGUUGUAUUAGCUAGUUGGUGAGGUAAAGGCUCACCAAGGCGAUGAUACAUAGCCGACCUGAGAGGGUGAUCGGCCACAUUGGGACUGAGACACGGCCCAAACUCCUACGGGAGGCAGCAGUAGGGAAUCUUCGGCAAUGGACGAAAGUCUGACCGAGCAACGCCGCGUGAGUGAAGAAGGGUUUCGGAUCGUAAAACUCUGUUGGUAGAGAAGAACGUUGGUGAGAGUGGAAAGCUCAUCAAGUGACGGUAACUACUCAGAAAGGGACGGCUAACUACGUG
rnacentral:rRNA from 1 species